rnacentral:lncRNA from 1 species
AAGGACAUCUCAGAAUCAACACAUGCCAGAUUUGGAAUGCAACAGUGCAGCAUUGGAAAUUAUCAGCAUAGGAUAAAUGCAAGUGAGGUUGCUAGAGAAAGAUUGAAAAAUCAGUGGACCGGAGGAGAGAGAAGAGGAGUCCAUCAGAAGCUUCAUUGGUACUUGGUUCCAGAUGAGCGAGGAAGAGGUAGACACUUGUUUCCCAACAAGUAAUCAUCCACCUCCUUAUUAGCCAACCUACUUCCAAAGUCAAGCUAAAUAACUAUAACAAAGCGCAGCGUGGGAGGCAACCCACUAUUAGGUAGUUUCUUUCAGUUUUAAUAUUUAAAGUUACUUAUUUAUUCAUUCAAUUUCUUACAGGUCUAAAAAAAUAACAAAAAUAAAAAGAGACAAACCAGAAAAACAAAAAAGAGACCCAAGGAAACGUUUACUUGUCAUCGACCGAUAGGAUCAAGUCGACAUAGUUCGACAGCACAACAUCAGAAACGAUUGAUAUACACUUCAAUGUGUCGAUCGAGAUCAAUAUCAGCGAUAAGGUAUACCGUUUUCCUUGUUACAUAUUGUCCUGAUGAUUUAUGUUAUCACUAAACUCUGAGUAGAUAUACACGGGGGACAAUAUAAUUUAAGUCUGGG